UAGCUCAGUUGGGAGAGCACCUGCCUUACAAGCAGGGGGUCACUGGUUCGAACCC
rnacentral:tRNA from 1 species